UACGUAGGGGGCAAGCGUUGUCCGGAAUCAUUGGGCGUAAAGAGCGUGUAGGCGGCUUGGUAAGUCCGCUGUGAAAGUCCAGGGCUCAACCCUGGAAUGCCGGUGGAAACUGUCAAGCUUGAGUCCGGAAGAGGCGAGUGGAAUUCCUGGUGUAGCGGUGAAAUGCGCAGAUAUCAGGAGGAACACCAAUGGCGAAGGCAGCUCGCUGGGACGGUACUGACGCUGAGACGCGAAAGCGUGGGGGAGCAAAC
rnacentral:rRNA from 1 species